ACAUGGUGUUUUGGUGAUGUGCACUUCCUAUUCAUAUGUAAGAGAUCAUAUGACAGAAUUAUGGGACCAUAAGUGAAAAUGCUGCUUGUGUGAAUCUGUUUUUUCUUUUCUUUUUAUGUUGUAGGCCAUGACUGGAGUGAAGCCAUAUAUAUGCAGUAUGCCAUUGAGAAUGGAUGAGGGAUGGAAUACAAUCCAGUUGAAUCUUGCUGAUUUUAUCAGAAGAGCAUAUGGAACAGACCAUGUUGAGACAUUGUUAGUCCAGAUUCAUGCAAAUUGCCAGCUGAGAUGAAUUUAUUUCUCUGACCCCCUUUGCUCGGAAGAACUCCCACCAGAAUUCAAACUGUAUCUCCCAAUGCAGGUACCAUAGCCAAUCACCUGGUCAAAUAACUAUAAAAUUGGAUUCUACUUGCUUUUCAUUUGCUGUCAAUAACCAUAAAUCACUUUUGUUGCAGAAAGCAUGAUGGGGUUCGUGGCACAGUAAGCUAAGGGACUUGUGCUGCCCAUGUUUUCAGAACACAGUAUCUUCAAAAUUCGGAAUGUGUUUCUUCACCAAGGGAUGGCAUUUAAUCCUGCUGAGAUGAACACCAUCGUUUCUACUUGCUUGAUACUUGUUUAAAAUAUUACCAUUUUAGGAUUUCAUGAAGUGAAUAUAUCUUAUUUCGUCAAGCUCAUUUUGUGGGUGGAAUGGGGAUUUCAUGAUUUGAGUAUUUAUAUUUCAAUGGAUGUGUUGUUGUAGUGGUGAAACUUCUUCAUAACACAAGGCUGUGUUUUGAGAAAGGAAUCAAAUGCUUUUGCAAAGUUUGGAAUUAAUGUUACAAAGAAAUGUUCCUAAAAAAUUGUGACGAUAUUAUUGCAUUUAUCAGUGAUAUAAUGCUUACUGCCUUGUUUAGUAAAGAGAGAUAAACAGCUAGCACUGUAAUUUUGGCUUUGGGUCAGCUACUAAGGCCAGUCCAGAAAGCCGGUCCUGCAUGUCUCAGCCAACUGCAUCUAAAUCAACCUCUGCAUCUGUCUCCCCAUCUAUCAUUCCAGCCUCUGCUUCAGCAUCUGCUUCUGACUGCCCUGCCUCCUGACCUGCAUCGGUGUCAGAGCUUUGCUUCUGAUUUUCAUCUGCUGUUGGAGUUGUGGCUGUGACAUCAGUGUCCAUUGGUGCCGCUGAGGCUUCAAGAUCAACUCUGGUUCCCUCCCCAUCAAUCUCACUUGCAGGUGUUGCGAUCUUGCAAUAACAAUAAAACAAAACAUCUAAAAACCACCAAAAAGGCAAAAAAAUGACCAUACAAACUUUCAAUCCCGGAGGUAAUUCUUUGUAAGGCAAUACACUAAUACAGAAUCCACUAAAAUUUCUGAAAAUUGAUGCAUAUAGCCUCUUAAAACAAAAUUCUAGCAGCUAAAUUUUAGAAAAGGUGGCCAACUGUAUUCUUACAAGUUAUGAUUCAAAAAGGGCAGGUAAUACAGGAGGAAGCAGAGAGAUAUAAAGGUUGACACUCCAUAAUUCAAGGAAGGCUUAACUCAUAAAAUUAACAUUCCUUGAACGGUUGAACUUAUACCUUACCUAUCUUAAACUCUCAAAACUUACCAAAUCAAAGAUGAUCUAUCCUGAAGUUUAAAACACAGCAAGGUUCUUUUUUGAGAACCACAAUCACAAGGAAUAAAUAAAUGAGUUGGCAAUCUUACUGCAGAUCCCGGCAAAUCUACCAUAUGACCAUAACUAGUACAAAAUAUGCCCAAAUUGGUACCAAUAUUUAUACUUUCUAGCAAACUCUGACACAGAAUAAAGUAGGCAUCAAAUGUGUGAUUUCACCCUUCAUCCAUGCAUUUCAGUCUUGUUUCAUACUGCUUAGUUUCUACUAAGUUUAGCCAGUAAUGCGACUGCACUUGUGUUUAACACAAGACCAAUCAAGACCUUCGGCAGAAGAUUUUCGUAGUACAAGCUCCAAAUAUUGUUCUUUGACCUUAGGACCUACAUGAUAUUGGCUGGCUGAGAAAGUAUAAAAAAUUCAAUAUAUUCAGAAUGAAGUGACUCAAUUUGGCCAGAGGAUCCUCAGCCCCAGUGAAAGAUCAAUGUAGGGCCCCUGGCUUGUUAUGAAGGGCACUACAAAGGCAGAGGUGAUAAGCUUUUUUCAAAUUCCCAUUAAAAAACAGUACUGUAAAAUCAUGUUAGCUCCACAAUCAACUUUCAGGAAUGAUUCAAAUACAUUGGAAAGCUUAAUACUGCCAAAAAUACCUGGUUUUCCUCUGCUUGUUGUGCAGCACCUUUUGUUUCUUCUUUUUUAGCACGUUUAGACCUGUCACUUGGUUUAGCUUGAUAUUUGGACCGGACAUCUGAAGGCAAAAGUUCCAUAGGCACAACCCCUUCAAUUCCAUACUCAGUAAACUGCAGCAAAACCAACCCAUUCUGUUAAAUCAAAUGUUAACCCACUUCUUUAAUUAACUAGUAUCUUGUAGAAAAAGUAAAUCAUACUCUAGAAAAUCCAUCCAAGUCCUGCCGAGCUGCAAAUCGAAGACCUUUCCAGCAAUAAACCUGCAUCAUAAAUAAGCAAAACAUUUUUAUAUAAAGGAAAGUUGACAUAAAGACAAAUGACCAACAUUACAAAUAUAAUAAAAUACUAAAAUUCAUGCUUUGCAUAACACAUGAAAAACUCAAUGCACCUUUUGAAGAAAGCAAGAUGGUGGAUCUGUCAACCACAUUUUAAUGUCGACAGAGCACAAUCUCUUAUGUCAACAUUUUGAGACACCCUACUUUAUAUAUAGGUAUAGAUAUAUAGAUAUAGGGAACUCUUGAAAACUCCUUGGCAAUUGAAAUAUAGGAACUUGUGAGAAGCCAGUUUUCUCCCACAAUGCAGUCACUGAUAACUUACUAUACUAAGAAAUCUUCAUAUUUGCUCAUUAGGAUAAAUAAGAUCCCAAAUGAAAUUUGAUAACUCAAUCUAAAUGUUCAUCCAGAAUUUCAGGAUUCUGGUAGCAAUGCAGAGACACCUCAAACUCAAAAGAGAAAAAAUGCGAUGGAAGAGAUGGCAUAAGGGAUGGUCUUCCCAACCAUAGAUAAUUCUAGAAAUGAAUUAAGAGGAUCCAUCAGUGACAAGAAGAUGAAUAUGACUAAUGAAGUCAGAUAACACGAGGCUAUAGAUUUUCAGGGGUAUUGUUGCAAUUUUCUGACCACAACAUUGGCAAUCUUACCUGAUGCUACUCUCAUGGUCAACAGUGCUAUUUUCCCUUUUUCUUUUCUGUUCCUUAAAGGGAAAUUUCAUCUUCUUCCAGAACCUCUCAUCUUUAUAAACCCAAGUAAACCAACAAAGCACAAAGCUCAAAGAGAACGAGAGAAAAAGUCAUUAAAAGUUUGUAAUUAUUUUCUGACAUGACUUCAAACAAGGGCCACCCAAAAUCUAAGCAUUUGAUAAUGGAAAUUUUGGUCCAACCAUCAGCUCCUCACUUUUCAAUUGCACAAUGGCUCAAUGAAACAUGAAUGUUACAUGCGUCUAGCACAUGCAUCACUUAUUUCACAUGUUCCCAGCAGUUAUGUGAUAAUCAUCAGUGUUUUGACAAUAUUUCGAGAUUUUCACUAAAAAGUCAAUCGAGGAUAUCUUAUUAGAUGGAUAACACAUUGGGAUAAAGUGAUACUUGAAAUUAUAUGUGAGAUUUCAGCAAUAGUUUCAAAAUUUUCAUCCAUGCAUAUAUGAAUCAGAUUUUCAUUAUUUUUUAAAAUUUUUUUUGCUUGAUUGUAUGUGUCUUUGAGUUGUUUCAUCCAGCCUUAACUUCCAUAGAUCUUGGUAUCUAGAUAUGUAAAAAUUUCUUUUUAUGCUUAGAUCACUGAUCAUGUGACUAUUUUGAUUUCAUUCAACAACCUAAACACCAUAAUUUAGGGUUAUAUAGUGUUGUAAUGACAUAUACUGUUUAAUAUGCUAUUUUCCUUUUUAUAAGAACUGUUUAUUGUUAUAAUCAGCUCGGAAGUUAUGUUGAGGAUGUUUGACUGCUAAUGAUGGGGAGUGAUGUAGGAUCCUAAAAUUUCUAGCACUAUGCAACUUUCUUGUGUUAUGGAAUAAGGUGAAGAAACUAAAAGAUGGAUUGGAAAAAUAAAAAGAUAUCCUUCGCAAUCAUACAAAGGUUCCUAGGCAAUCACAGUUAGGAAAAAUGCAAUUACACCCUUAAAAGAAGCAUAAUGGAUGCUGAAUCUUUUACUAAAUUCUCUUUUCUCACUUUGAAAAGUUACAUAGGACAACUGUCCUAAUGACCCUUUCCUAAUAGGACAACUCUCCUAAUUCCUUAUUUUCCCUUGUAAGAAUACGAAAAGAUAUAGGAAAGGAAUAUCAUUUAGAAACUAAAGAAAUAGAAACCUAACAAAAGCUGACAACUAUAAUAAAAACCUAACUAACUAAAAUAGAAACUUAACAAACAAACUAUGCCAUAUUAAGGCUUGGACAUUAGAACCAGCCUUAACCCUUCUCUUAUAAGUCUUCAAAGGAUGUUUCCAUCGUUGUUCCCCAUCAGGGAGUGUUUUGGAUACUAAAAAAAUAUCAUGUUAGGCUUAUGUUCUGUUCUUCUCUUCAACUGAGAUGCAAGUGAAACCACUAGAUUUCAAGUUACAUUUCCAAAUGUUAUGAUAUUUCCUAAUUUUUGUGAAAUCAUAUGUUUUAAGCAUUUUUCAUGUUUCCAAAUUUUUACCAAAAAGAAAGGAUAAAAGAGUGUUUCAGUCUCUGAAUUGACAACAUGUCAUCCUUGAAAGCCAAUCUAUUCCUCGCCUUCCAAACCGUCCAGAAAAUGUGAAGAGGAGCAGCUCUCCACGCCUUCUUGCGUUUUUUGCCUGUUGAAUAUAAUGUAUUUAUAGUAUAUUAUCUUUCCUUGUUAAUAUAGGUCACAUGUAUGGUAGUUAGGACUCCUAGCCUUGUAUAUAUAUAUCUCUCAAUUGUAAGUAGAAAACAUAUGAAUGAGAAUAAGGUUUUUCUCCUUUCUCUCUCUCUCUCUCAACAUGGUAUCAGAGCCAAAGGAGAAAACCUAAUUAUUUUUCCGGUUUAGCCGUGUAAUCAAUUCCGGCGAACCAUCCAGUGACCGUGUUUCACUCUGGUCCCCUCAUUUUCUUCCCGAACCACUCCGGACAACCUCAUCGCCGUCGGAUCUCCACCACGCCGGCAACCUUUUCCGGCGAACUUUCCGGCGAACUUUUCCGGCGACGUCUUUUUCCGACACCGACCACACCAAGAGGAGCGCCUGGAGGAGAUCUCCCACUUCUUCAAAAGCAUCGGAGCCAGAAAACCCUCCACGCUCCGGCCACGCGCACUUCUCCGGCCGGCGACUGAAUCUCACGCGCCGGCGCGUGAGGGCGCGUGAGACCUUUUCCGGCGACGCGCCUCCUCCUCCAGCCUCGCCUGACGCCGACCAGCAUCCCUACCUACCUGGUUCUCCCAUCUGAGCCCUGCACGUACCUCUUUUGGGGAUUUUUGUCUCCGUCAGCCCUCCAAACAGCCUUUCCGGCGAAGUUCCGGCUACUUUUUCUCCACCCCAAUCCCUGCACGUGCCUUGGGAAGUGUUCUUCUACCCUUCUGGUGGUACCACGUCGCGAUCUGAGGCCGUCUCCCUUUUUCGGUGGUGCCACGCCGCAAUCUGAAGCCGUAUUAGGGCUCUCUUCGAUCCAAAUAUGUAAAUAUGACCACCAAAAAUCAGAUCUUUACCUCUGUUAUCUCUGGAUCUCCUAUGAUUACCUCAGAGAAAUUGGUUGGCAGUGAGAAUUAUCGCUCCUGGUCUGCCUCUGUUGAACUUUGGUUUAUGGGUCAAGGAUAUGAGGAUCACUUGGUUACCCCGGAGGCAGAUAUCCCUGAGGUUGACCGCGUACAGUGGAGGAAGAUAGAUGCACAGUUAUGUAGUGUAUUAUGGCAAUCGGUUGAUCCCAGGAUUCUUCUUCAUCUUCAGGCUUAUAAAACUUGUUUUAAAUUUUGGACUCAAGCCAAAGGAUUAUACACGAAUGAUAUCCAGCGUCUUUAUAAGGUGGCUUCUGCUAUUGUCCAUCUCAGCCAACAGGACUUGGAUCUAUCUACUUAUAUUGGUCAGAUUGCCUCUCUUAAGGAGGAGUUCUUGACUGUGAUGCCUCUUACUCCUGAUGUUGGGGCUCAACAAACACAGCUUGACAAGUUCUUCAUGGUCCUUACUCUUAUUGGCCUCCGUCCGGAUCUUGAGUCUAUUCGUGAUCAGAUUCUUGGAAGUUCAUCAGUUCCGUCCUUGGAUGAUGUGUUUGCUCGCCUCCUCCGUAUCUCGUCCACUCAGACUUUGCCAUCUGAUAGCGCUUCAGAUUCUUCUGUGUUAGUUUCUCAAACUACCUCUCGAGGAGGACACAGUGGUACCCGAGGUAGAGGCCAACGUCCUCAUUGCACCUAUUGCAAUAAACUUGGCCACACUCGCGAUCGUUGCUAUCAGUUACAUGGAAGACCUCCUCGCACUGCCCAUAUGGCCCAGUCCUCUGAUUCUCCGCUGCCUCAGCCUCCGAGCUCCUCCGCAUCUCAGACAUCUCAGGCUUCUAUUGCCUCUGUUGCCCAGCCUGGUAAUGUCUCUGCCUGCCUUACCCACACAUCUUCUCUUGGACCCUGGAUUCUAGAUUCUGGAGCAUCUGAUCACCUAUCUGGUAAUAAGGAUCUUUCUCUCUAUACUACUACCUCUGAUUUACCUACUGNNNNNNNNNNNNNNNNNNNNNNNNNNNNNNNNNNNNNNNNNNNNNNNNNNNNNNNNNNNNNNNNNNNNNNNNNNNNNNNNNNNNNNNNNNNNNNNNNNNNNNNNNNNNNNNNNNNNNNNNNNNNNNNNNNNNNNNNNNNNNNNNNNNNNNNNNNNNNNNNNNNNNNNNNNNNNNNNNNNNNNNNNNNNNNNNNNNNNNNNNNNNNNNNNNNNNNNNNNNNNNNNNNNNNNNNNNNNNNNNNNNNUAAAGGUAUUGGUUUGGCCCUUCCUCUGCCUUUUCUACCUCUCACUUCUGUCCUUUAUACUCCUGAAUGUCCUUUUAAUCUUAUUUCCAUCAACAAAAUCACUCGUACUCUUAAUUGCUCUAUUACCUUUUCUGAUAAAUUUGUGACCUUGCAGGACCGGAGUACGGGGAAGAUGAUUGGCAUAGGACGUGAGUCUCAAGGCCUCUAUCACCUCACCUUAGAUUCAUCUCCUGCAGUUUGCAUUUCCACUAAUGCUCCUCUCCUCAUUCACAAUCGUCUGGGCCACCCUAGUCUUUCCAAGUUCCAGAAGAUGGUUCCUCGUUUUUCCACUUUGUCGUCGCUUCCGUGUGAGUCAUGUCAGCUUGGGAAACAUACUCGUGUCUCGUUCCCAAAGCGUUUGAAUAAUCGGGCAAAGUCUCCUUUUGAGCUUGUCCACACUGAUGUUUGGGGUCCUUGUCGGACUGCGUCUACUUUAGGAUUUCAGUAUUUUGUCACUUUCAUUGAUGACUAUUCUCGAUGUACUUGGUUAUUUUUAAUGAAAAAUCGAGCUGAGUUAUUAUCUAUUUUCCAGAAAUUUUAUACUGAAAUCCAAACCCAGUUCAAUAUUUCUAUUCGUGUGUUACGCAGUGACAAUGCUAGGGAAUAUUUUUCAGCCCAAUUUACUUCGUUUAUGUCUCAUCAUGGAAUUCUUCAUCAGUCUUCUUGUGCUCAUACUCCUCAACAAAAUGGGGUAGCUGAACGCAAGAAUCGACAUCUUGUUGAGACAGCUCGUACUCUCCUCCUCCAUAGUCACGUUCCUUUUCGUUUUUGGGGGGACGCUGUUCUUACCGCUUGUUAUUUGAUUAAUCGUAUGCCCUCCUCUGUCUUACACGAUCAGAUUCCUCACUCCCUUCUCUUCCCUGACCAACCACUUUAUUUCCUUCCUCCUCGUGUCUUUGGUUGUACUUGCUUUGUUCAUAUUCUCACUCCUGGACAGGACAAGCUUUCCGCCAAAGCCAUGAAGUGCCUCUUCUUGGGAUAUUCCAGACUUCAGAAGGGUUAUCGUUGUUAUUCCCUUGAGACUCGUAGAUACUUUAUCUCCGCUGAUGUCACCUUCUUUGAGGACUCACCAUUCUUUUCCACCACUUCUGAGUCUCUUCCUGUUUCUAAAGUUUUGCCCAUUCCCAUUGUCUCCCCACCUGAUGCUAUGCCCCCUUGACCACUUCAGGUUUAUCAUCGUCGCCCUCGUGUCGUUGCUCCUCUCCCUUUUCCUGAGGCACCUGCUGACUCACUUCCUAUCCCUUCGACUUCACCUGCCCCGGCUCUGCCUUCUCCUAAUGACUUACCCAUUGCUGUUCGGAAAGGUACUCGCUCUACUCGUAAUCCUCAUCCUAUUUACAAUUUUUUGAGUUAUCAUCGCUUAUCUUCACCCUAUUCUGCUUUUGUUUCUGCUAUAUCCUCUGUUUCUCUUCCAAAGAGCACCCAUGAAGCUCUUUCCCAUCCAGGCUGGCGACAGGCAAUGGUAGAUGAAAUGGCUGCUCUGCACUCUAAUGGCACUUGGGAUCUUGUUGUUUUACCCUCUGGUAAAUCUACAGUUGGUUGUCGUUGGGUCUAUGCCGUUAAGGUUGGUCCUGAUGGUCAGGUUGAUCGCCUUAAGGCCCGCUUAGUUGCUAAAGGCUAUACUCAAGUUUAUGGUUCUGAUUAUGGUGACACAUUCUCCCCUAUUGCCAAGAUUGCUUCUGUCCGCUUGCUUCUCUCCAUGGCUGCUAUGUGUUCUUGGCCUCUUUAUCAGUUGGAUAUUAAAAAUGCCUUCCUUCAUGGUGAUCUUGCCGAGGAAGUUUAUAUGGAGCAACCUCCUGGUUUUGUUGCUCAGGGGGAGUCUGGUUUAGUGUGCAGGUUACGCCGUUCUCUAUAUGGCUUGAAACAAUCUCCUCGAGCAUGGUUUAGCCGUUUUAGUUCUGUUGUUCAAGAGUUUGGCAUGCUUCGCAGUACAGCAGACCAUUCAGUUUUUUAUCAUCAUAACUCCUUGGGGCAGUGUAUUUAUCUGGUUGUUUAUGUGGACGACAUCGUCAUUACAGGCAGUGAUCAGGAUGGUAUUCAGAAACUAAAGCAACAUCUUUUUACCCACUUUCAGACCAAAGACUUGGGGAAACUCAAGUAUUUCUUGGGAAUUGAGAUAGCUCAAUCCAGUUCUGGUGUGGUCCUUUCCCAAAGGAAGUAUGCUUUAGACAUCCUGGAAGAAACCGGUAUGUUAGACUGUAAACCGGUAGACACACCUAUGGAUCCGAAUGUCAAACUUGUACCAGGACAGGGGGAGCCUUUAGGAGACCCUGGGAGAUAUCGACGGCUCGUAAGUAAAUUGAACUAUCUCACCAUUACUCGUCCAGACAUUUCUUUUCCUGUGAGUGUUGUUAGUCAAUUCCUACAGUCACCAAGUGAUAGCCAUUGGGAUGCCGUAAUCCGUAUUCUUCGAUAUAUCAAAAGUACACCAGGCCAAGGUGUAUUGUACGAGAACAGAGGUCAUACUCAAGUUGUUGGUUACACAGAUGCAGAUUGGGCUGGCUCACCCACAGAUAGACGUUCCACUUCAGGGUACUGUGUUUUUAUUGGAGGUAAUCUAAUAUCUUGGAAGAGUAAGAAACAAGAUGUAGUGGCCAGAUCUAGCGUUGAAGCUGAGUAUCGAGCUAUGGCUUUGGCAACAUGUGAACUCAUAUGGUUGAGACAUCUUCUUCAGGAGUUGAGAUUUGGAAAGGAUGAACAGAUGAAACUCAUCUGUGAUAACCAGGCCGCAUUACAUAUUGCAUCCAAUCCAGUCUUUCAUGAAAGGACCAAGCAUAUUGAAGUUGACUGUCAUUUCAUUAGAGAGAAGAUCGCAUCAGGAUGUGUUGCUACAAGUUUUGUUAAUUCAAAUGAUCAACUAGCAGACAUCUUCACUAAAUCUCUCAGAGGUCCUAGGAUUAAAUAUAUUUGUAACAAGCUUGGUGCAUAUGACGUAUAUGCUCCAGCUUGAGGGGGAGUGUUGAAUAUAAUGUAUUUAUAGUAUAUUAUCUUUCCUUGUUAAUAUAGGUCACAUGUAUGGUAGUUAGGACUCCUAGCCUUGUAUAUAUAUAUCUCUCAAUUGUAAGUAGAAAACAUAUGAAUGAGAAUAAGGUUUUUCUCCUUUCUCUCUCUCUCUCUCAACAUUGCCCAAGAAAAAACCAUUCCAACUUAGAAGGGUUUCUCUAACUAAAGAAGGUAAGACCCAAGACACCCCAAAUAAAGUAAAAGUUCCUAAAACAUCUUCUCACUGGGUGUUCCCAUAUUAUUUUUUUUUUUUGAUAAGUAAAUAAGAUUUCAUAUAUAAAAGAGACGCUAAAAAAGCGACUCAAAGUAUACAAUACCUAUACACUCGCCUUCAAUAAGGCCCAAAAAACAAAGAUAGCCCUACACCACAAACCUACUUAGAGCCCAACCAAUCAAUAAAAUUAGCUAUAGUUAGAGAGCAAUCAUCUAUGAGCAACUUAGUCUCAGACCAAAAAGAAAGGAUAAAAGAGUGUUUCAGUCUCUGAAUUGACAACAUGUCAUCCUUGAAAGCCAAUCUAUUCCUCGCCUUCCAAACCGUCCAGAAAAUGUGAAGAGGAGCAGCUCUCCACGCCUUCUUGCAUUUUUUGCCCAAGAAAAAACCAUUCCAACUUAGAAGGGUUUCUCUAACUAAAGAAGGUAAGACCCAAGACACCCCAAAUAAAGUAAAAAGUAGAUCCCAUAACACCCUUGUUCUUGAACAAUGAAGGAGAAAAUGGUUUAUGUUCUCCUCUUUCUCAAGACACAUAAAGCAUUUAUUUGCCAAUGCCCGUCCUCUUUUCUGGACUAUAUCCAAGGUCAAGGCUUUGCCCCAUGUAGCCUCCCAUGCAAAGAAACUAACCUUGGGCUGCACAUUCACAUUCCAAAUAUAGCUUGAAGGAAAUAGAGAUGAACCACCCGCUUCAAGGGCUACAUAGAGAGACUUGACCGAGAAUUUACCACUCUUAGUUUCAGUCCAAGACACCAUAUCCUCCACAUCCUCAAUAACUCUCUUACCCUGUAGCCUCUCCAAAAAUCUUUCCGCCUCCUCUACCUCCCAAUCAUUGAACGCUCUUAAAAAACAGGGGUUCCAACCCCCUCAGCCAAGGGGUCCCAAAUAUCUGCCACCCACGCUUCCUUCUCAACAGUCAAAGCAAAAAGAGAAGGAAAGGACAUACACAAAGGAGAAUCCCCACACCAUCUAUCCCUCCAAAAUCUCACCUUUCUCCCAUUACCAACUUUGAAAACCAUCCUAUCGCUCACCAACUUCCAAUCCAUCCUUAUUCCUUUCCACAACCCCAUACCAUGAGCCUCUCUCGCUUCCCGAGAGCACCAACCCCCUCUAUCUUCUCCAUACUUCCCUCUAAUCACUUGAUUCCACAAAGCCUCUCUCUCAUUUGCGAAACCCCAAUUCCAUUUAGCAAGAAGUGCCUUGUUGAGAAAGGAAAGACAUUUGACCCCCAAACCUCCUUUCGACUUACUUAAACAUACCAACUCCCAUCUUACUAAAUGAGGCUUUCGCUCCAAAUUGCCCCUACCCCAAAGGAAGUCCCUUUGGAUUUUCUCUAAUCUCCAUCUGACUGAGCUUGGUAAGUACAACAAUGACAUUAGAUAGAUGGGUAAAUUCGAUAACAUGCUUUGAAUAAGAGUUGCCCUUCCUCCCUUGGAUAAAUAUUGUCUCUUCCACAUGGCUAACCUUCUUCGGAAGCGCUCUUCCACACCAUCCCAAACUGUAACGACUUAAAAGGAGCACCCAAGGGCAUCCCCAAAUAGGUGGUUGGAAGACUACCCAUACUACAACCAAAUUCCCAAGCAAGAUCAUCCAUAUACUUUACCCUCCCUACUGGAAUGAGUUCACUUUUUUCUAAAUUCAUUCUCAAUCCCGAAAUGGCCUCAAACCACAUAAGUAACCAACUGAGAUAAGUCAACUGAUCUUGAGAAGGUUUACAGAACACCAGUGUAUCGUCAGCAAACAACAAGUGGGAAAUUAGGACCCCUUCUUCACUCCUACCCUUCACCCUACAACCCGAUAAGAAACCUCCCUCUAUGGCCCUGUUGAGAAAAGCACUAAAGACCUCCAUAGCUAUCACAAAGAGGUAAGGGAAAAGGAGAUCGCCCUGUCUCAAACCUCUGGAGCUUUGGAAGAAGCUUGUAGGGGUUCCAUUGACCAACACGGAGGAACUUGCAGUGGAUAUACACCACUUAAUCCACCUGAUCCAUUUUUCCCCAAAACCCAUUUUCUGCAUAAUUGUGAGAAUAAAAGUCCAGUCCACUUUAUCAUACGCCUUCUCUAUAUCCAGUUUUCACAAGAUGCCACUCUCAUUGUUCUUGAUGAUCGAAUCAAUGGCUUCAUUAGCUAUCAACAUUGCAUCUAAGAUUUGUCUACCUUCCACAAACGCCCCUUGAGCCUUGGAAACCACCUUUCCAACCACUUUUUUUAGCCUAUUGGCUAAGACCUUGGCCAGCCACUUGUACAAGCUUCCCACCAAGCUUAUAGGCCUAAAAUCCCCUAAAGCUUCAACCCCUGCUUUUUUUGGAAUUAGAACCAUAAAAGUUGCAUUUAGGCUUUUAACAAAUUUACCAUUUUCGUAGAAUUCCUUGAAAAAACACAUCACAUCAGCCUUCACGAAAUCCCAAGCAAAUUGCCAAAAGGCCAUAGAGUAAAUACACCAUAUGGAAUGCAAACCAACGGAACCUAAAUGUAUAGGGUAAGACCAUCUACCCGGUUAUUUUUAUGGUGAUAUUCAGCUUCAAUUCCAGCGGAUGAGUCCAUCUGCAAUUCCAACAAGAAAUUAACUUCAUUAUGAUAGUUCACAUGGUCAAGUAAAAGCUUAAGAUCAGAAAGAAAAACUCCAGAAAACUUUUUUUUAUGUUAUGAAGGGAAAAAAGGAAUCAAAAGUAAAAAAGAUCACUAUAUUAAUUUGAAAUGUAGAAGUAACACAGGAUGCUCACAUCUUCAGCCAAGGGUUUCCAAUACUCUGAGACAGCGGGAGUGCGGACACGCUGUGGAUCAGUAAGAGCAUUCUGGACAGGCAAAUAAAAACCAAGGCAUGAGAACGGUAGAAUGAUUAUCCAAAACUAUCAAAUAAUAUUAUGUUAGAAUGUCCCUUCAUAUCAAAAUCAGAAAAAAAACAAGUAUUAAUGUAUUAUGAAACACUCAAAAGAUCGGUAACUUGGGAAUUAGCAAAGUUAUACAAGAUGGAUCUAACUAUCUCAUAACACACUUUUUAAAUUAAAAUGGUUGGAAGGUAAAAACAGACAACCAUCUUGGUAUCUUGUGGCUAUGAGGCACAUCGAUGCCCACUUUUUUUUUUCCCUGAUCAGACAUCAAUGCCCACUUCAUUCUUGAUCUUGAUAAUACUAUUGAUCUGGAAAUUAAAAUAUCAUAGCAAUCAACCUGAGAUUUAAAUUGAAAAAGAGGGAGAAAGGGAGAGAGAGAGAGAGAGAGAAGAUGAAAGUCCUGUAAUGAUUUAAUUCUCAUUACUAAGGAUGUGCUGUCUAGGGCCUAGUUUGCAUUGAUUUUAUGGGCCCCAUGGACCAAUUGUGCAACUGGACCACAAUUUUUCUCUAUUGAACUUUAAUUAUUUUGGCUUUUGAAGUGUUUGAAAUUUGACUACAAUUCUUAAAUACACCAUGUUCCAGAUGCAUCAAUCACUAUCACAAUCCAAUUUUUGUCCUACUAGUAAACAGUAACCACACUCAACUUAAAAAUCAAAUGGGGUUGUGCAGCAUUUUUCAGCCCAUUGUUAAGCCAAAAACUAUUUCAACACAUUUAACCCUUUCAGCUUCUAACGACACCCUAAUUUCCUCCUGAUCUCACCAAUAACCUGCUUGCCUUAACCUCACCCUGCACCACUUAUCACUCCAAAAUUCACGUUUGUCCAAUAGCAACUUCAAAAUUCAUAAAACUCAAGAGAACUUCCAUUCCUCCUCUAAUCAAGCCCCCUUUUUUAUACUUAUGCCUGGAUGAAUGAAUUGUAAAAUUGCUCCUCUUCAACAUUCAUUUCUUCUCUUUUCCCCAAACCAAUGAAUCUUACUUUUCUAAACAAAGAAAACUUUUUGUCUUAUAGAAACAAAGCUCUGGAGUCUGGAAGGAACGUAGAAAGUUUGUUAGGAGGGUGAGUGUGAGUAAGAACAUUUUAAGAAUUAAGUUUCUGGAUAUGAAAGAAAGCCCUUUUUACACUUCCUCAAGAAAAGUUGGAAAAUCCAAGCGUAAGUUAGUUUAACAAGCUGGUAAGCAUGACCAUUCAACCCUAUACUAAUAUUUUUUCUUUUUCUUUUGAUCCAAAUUCAACCCUAUACUUUUUUUUUUUUUUUUUGAUAAGUAAAUUUACAUAAAAUUAAUAAAGCACCAAAGAGGCACACCAAAGUAUAAAGGACAUAUACAAUAGUCGUCACAAGGCACCAAAAAAGGACAAGGGAGACAAAAAUACUCCCUUUCUCGACAAGAACCCAACCAAUCAAUGAAAUCGAAUAAGGACAAUGGUCCUUCACCUAUCAAAAGCUACAAAUAAACCCAGUUUUUAGUCCUUGGUCCGAAAGUUCCUCAUUAUCAAAAGCUUUUCUAUUUCUCUCUUUCCACAAUGUCCAAAAAAGGCACAAUGGGGCUGCUUCCCACACUUUUUUCCAUUUCCUUCCAACAAAGGAGCCAUGACACCCUAGCAAAGUUGCUUUUACAGAAGACAACACCACCCAAGAAACACCAAAAAGGGAUAACAAAAGCCCCCAUUCUCACAAUGUAGAAAAAUGUGAUCAACUGACUCCUAUUCAACAAGAUAAAGAGAACAUCUAUUUGCUAAUACCCAUCCUCUUCUCUAGAGCUGAUCAAGAGUCAGUACUUUUCCCCAAGGCGCCUCCCAGGCAAAAAAUACACGCCUUAGGAGGAACCCAUGGAUUCCAAACAACUCAUAUUGGAAAAGGCACUGAUCUUCUAAGCUGAAGAAAAGUGUAAAGAGACUUAACCAAGAAAGUUCCAUCUUUUGUAUUAAGCAUUAAAUCUCAUCCUUGACUUCCAGUAAAAAAAUAUUCCUAACAAAUAUUCAACUUCCUAAACAAAAAGAAACCUUGAAAAAAAAAAAACCAACAAUGAGAUCAUCACUCGACAAGGAAAAGAAAUAGGAAGUUAUGAAUUGUGAGAUGUGGAUUUUUAUGAAUUAGUUAUUGUUAGAUAGCUAGCUCACUUUAUGUUUGUUAUGAGUAAGAGGAUUUCAUUGGGCAACACAUGUCAAGUGAGAAACUUUUCUAGUGACUAAUACGUGCGUAAAAUUUAUAAUAUAAAAGCCUUUUCCUUUUCCAUAAAAUUAAUAAUCAUUAGGUACUAGAAUAGGGGCUAAGACCAUGUGCAAUUGUAAUAUAUUAUGCAGCAAAGUACAAAUGUGCACAUCUGUCUCCUGAUAGCAAUCAUUGUGUGCAAAAAUGCACGAGGUUAGACAGAAUCCAAUCCUCAUAUAUAGGACCAACAAAGGGUAAUAACCUGUUUAAUAAAAGGUAACAGAAUUUGAGGAAAAUACAUCUAGAAAAGAGGAUUGUGAAAAGAUCCAUACAACAUUGAUAGACCAACUUUUCUGAGUGUGAUUUGAGAGAAGGAAUCUUUACUGUGCUCCUUAGGCAAUUAAGCUAUUUACACUAAAGUGCCCUAUUCUUUAAAGGAACCUCCCAAGACCUGAACCCUCCUUGUGCUUUGGCUUAAUGCCACCUCCUACCCAACCAAAUGAUUUCAGCUAGAUUCCCCAUGACCUGGCCAAAGUGAAUCUCACUCAAUCUUUCAAUUCUGGAGGUACACUAACCGGAAUCCUAAGAGAACAAGCAGGUUGGACGGUCGGCCAAGAAAGACUAAAUCAAAGUAAUCCCUUAAAGGACAGAGGUUUUUUUCCAACAAUCAAGCUGCUUCAACACUUAAACUAAAUAGAUCUCAAAAUCCCUGGACUUUUAAUGUCACCUCUCAGCAGGAUACCUUUACAUAUUUCAAAGGCAUCUUGAUAGUCUCAUAGCCCAUUGAAGGAGGCUAUUUUUAUGCUGUCUUCCUGAUGGAUGUUGAUUCCUCCACAAGGCACUCAAUGAAGGUUAAUUUUUUUUUUUAAAGACUAGACACCAGCCUGCAGAUUUUAAGAUAGGCUUCAGGCUAUAUAAUCUUUUCAGUAGAAGAGAAAAAGUUGUAUUAUUUGCAAAGAAGUGAUGGGUAACUAUAAUUCGUUCUUGACUAAAAUUAAAACCUUUCACCCUAUUAAUCAUUCUCUCAAGUACAACCACCAGCACCCUUUAACAAGAAAAGAAAGGGGAUUGAACAUCCCCUUUUCUAGGGCUUCCUAGAAGCAUUAAUCCAAACCUAGCUAUCCUGUCAUGUACAUCAGCUAGAUCAUCAAGGACUAGAAAAACCCUGAUCAACCAACACCAUCUUAUGCUAAAGCAGUUCCCAUUCCUAGUAUGGUCCAGGAAAUCAAAAUCAACAUGAUUGUCUUCUUAAAGCCCAUUUUGAAAAACACCUUCUGUUCCAAGAUUUUGUUAGCUAUGACUUGCAUUAGAAGUUCAUUGAACCAUAUCAAAAGCUCCUUGGGAAUGGGAAAUUAUGUACUGAGGAACUUUUCUUUUUUUCCUUUCCUUUUCUUUCUUUCUUUCUUUUUUUAAUUUUCACUUCUUUUUAAUGAAAUGGCAUUUCAUUCAAAAACUUAGAGACUGUUUGUUUUUAUAAAUUUUUGUAGAAAGCAAUUUGCUUUCAAACUUUAAGUUGUUUGUUUUUCUACUUUUUAUGACUUAUUAUAAAUUUUUGGCUGAAU
rnacentral:lncRNA from 1 species